AUGGGUUUUAAAGACCAUGAAAAUUUCGAAACAAAGAAAAUACACCUAAGGACCCAUCAUGAUAUGGAUUUUGAAGUAAAUCUGUACAAUGCUCAGAGCGUAACCCAUUUUGGUUGCCAAAAUUGGAAAGCACUUUGCAAAAUGUAUGGUUUUGAUGAGGGUAUGAUUAUCACCAUGGAUCUUGGUGAUCCUGACAGCGAGGAAGACAAUAUGGACAUUUGGGUCCUUGUUGAUACACUUCCGAUUGUACCGCUAUCUUAUUUUGAUUCUUCAAAGACUGUGCGGAAGAUGGUAGAUAAAACCCACUAUACCGAAGGCACCCAAUUAACGUAUAAGGAGAAAAAUCAUCUGAUCGCAUUUUAUACUCUUCUUGAGAAUUACAAUGCCUAUUAUCGAACUCCUCCAAAUUAUGGUGAAUACGUGCCACUAGUGCAUGUGUUGAGCAACGAUAACUUCUCUAGAGAUAUCCUGAAACUCCCGAUGGAUUGUGUGCCUCAUCUGAUGUCUCUGCAUGGUCGCCUCUCAGUUCUGAACAUACUGCCAGGUAAAUCUACGGAGCUCACCUGUGCAUGUCGGAUUUCUAAAACCCGUGAACACAUGAUCAUCAGAGAAUGGAAGAAAUGUAUGGACAUUCGCAAGGAGGUUCUUGGAAGUAACAUUCAGCGAAAGGCAAGAAUGGGAGACAGGCUAAUCUCCAUUCUCCAUAAUGGAGAGUCAGGGGCUAUCUUGUUUUUUGUUAUUUUACCUUAG
rnacentral:rRNA from 1 species